AGCGAGGUAUAGAGUUCCUACGUCAUUUUAUGCGGUAGGAACUUCAUACCGUGCUCU
rnacentral:pre_miRNA from 1 species